rnacentral:rRNA from 1 species
AGCACGCCGCGUGAGUGAUGAAGGUUUUCGGAUCGUAAAGCUCUGUUGUUAGGGAAGAACAAGUACCGUUCGAAUAGGGCGGUACCUUGACGGUACCUAACCAGAAAGCCACGGCUAACUACGUGCCAGCAGCCGCGGUAAUACGUAGGUGGCAAGCGUUGUCCGGAAUUAUUGGGCGUAAAGGGCUCGCAGGCGGUUUCUUAAGUCUGAUGUGAAAGCCCCCGGCCAACCGGGGAGGGUCAUUGGAAACUGGGGAACUUGAGUGCAGAAGAGGAGAGUGGAAUUCCACGUGUAGCGGUGAAAUGCGUAGAGAUGUGGAGGAACACCAGUGGCGAAGGCGACUCUCUGGUCUGUAACUGACGCUGAGGAGCGAAAGCGUGGGGAGCGAACAGGAUUAGAUACCCUGGUAGUCCACGCCGUAAACGAUGAGUGCUAAGUGUUAGGGGGUUUCCGCCCCUUAGUGCUGCAGCUAACGCAUUAAGCAUCCGCCUGGGGAGUACGGUCGCAAGACUGAAACUCAAAGGAAUUGACGGGGGCCCGCACAAGCGGUGGAGCAUGUGGUUUAAUUCGAAGCAACGCGAAGAACCUUACCAGGUCUUGACAUCCUCUGACAAUCCUAGAGAUAGGACGUCCCCUUCGGGGGCAGAGUGACAGGUGGUGCAUGGUUGUCGUCAGCUCGUGUCGUGAGAUGUUGGGGUUAAGUCCCGCAACGAGCGCAACCC